GGGGUGCUCGAGUGGCGAACGGGUGAGUAACACGUGAGUAACCUGCCCUUGACUUUGGGAUAACUUCAGGAAACUGGGGCUAAUACCGGAUAGGAGCUCCUGCUGCAUGGUGGGGGUUGGAAAGUUUCGGCGGUUGGGGAUGGACUCGCGGCUUAUCAGCUUGUUGGUGGGGUAGUGGCUUACCAAGGCUUUGACGGGUAGCCGGCCUGAGAGGGUGACCGGCCACACUGGAACUGAGACACGGUCCAG
rnacentral:rRNA from 1 species